rnacentral:rRNA from 1 species
AUGGCGUCCAUCACCCUCCUCUCCCUCGCUCCAGCCGCGACCUUCCUCCACCUCCCGGCCUCCACCGCCUCCUCCUCCCCCCACUUCGCCGCCAUUCCCCGCUCCCUCGCCGGCCGCCGGGCCCUCCUCCUCUCCGCGCGCGCGCCCCGCCGCGUCACCGUCGUCUGCAGCGCCGCGGCGGCGGCCGAGGCCUCGGAGGCGGAGCCCGUGGAGAAGUUCCGGCUCGACAACCUGAGCCCGCAGAAGGGGGCGCGGCGGAAGCCGAAGCGGAAGGGGCGCGGUAUCUCCGCGGGGCAGGGCGCCAGCUGCGGGUUCGGUAUGCGCGGGCAGAAGUCGCGCUCCGGGCCCGGCGUCCGCCGAGGGUUCGAGGGCGGGCAAAUGCCGCUCUACCGCCGUCUUCCCAAGCUCCGCGGAAUCGCCGGCGGAAUGCAUAUCGGGUUGCCAAAGUACGUGCCGUUCAAUUUGAGGGACAUAGUGCAGGGUGGGUUCAAGGAUGGCGAUGAGAUUUCCUUGGAGUCCUUGAAAUCGAGGGGCUUGAUCAAUCCAUCCGGCAGGGAAAGAAAGCUUCCACUCAAGAUUUUGGGAGAUGGUGAUCUAUCAGUCAAGUUGAACAUCAAGGCUGGGGCAUUCUCCUCCGCGGCCAAGGAGAAACUUGAGGCAGCUGGCUGUACUUUAACAGUGUUGCCCAAGCGGAAGAAAUGGCUACCAGCAGCUUAUGUGAAGAACCAAGCUCGUGCUGAAGAGUACUUUAGCAAGAAAAAAGGCGGCGCUGUUGAAUCUGAUGAAGCCACCACAUAG